UCAGGAAUUUGUGGAGCACAUCAAUCAGGGCCAAAGUUACAUUUCCAAAUAAAACGGAUGGGCUACUAUUGGCCGACUAUGGUCAAGGAUUGCAUGGAUUAUGUGAAGAAAUGCCAAGCAUGUCAAUUCCAUGCCAACUUUAUCCAUCAACCGCCGGAGCCGCUACAUCCUACAAUUACUUCAUGGCCAUUUGAUGCGUGGGGUCUUGAUGUGGUGGGACCAAUAGCACCUAAAUCUUCCGACGGUCAUUCUUACAUCCUUGCAGCCACAGACUACUUCUCAAAAUGGGCGGAAGCUGUGCCUCUAAAGGAAGUGAAGAAAGAAAAUGUAGUGAGCUUUAUCAAGGUAAACAUCAUUAAUCGGUAUGGUGUGCCACGCUACAUCAUCACAGAUAAUGGCAAGCCAUUCUCGAAUCGGUUGAUGGAUAAAUUGUGUGAAGACUUUGGUUUCAAACAACGCAACUCUUCAAUGUACAAUGCACCAGCCAACGGUCUUGCGGAAGCGUUCAACAAAACUCUUUGCAGCCUGUUGAAGAAAGUUGUUGGAAGAACCAAGAAAGAUUGGCAUGAAAGGAUAAAUGAAGCUUUGUGGGCUUAUAGGACGACAUACCGGACGCCUACUCAGGCUACACCGUACUCACUCGUGUAUGGCGUGGAAGCAGUUUUGCCUCUAGAAAGCCAACUUCCAUCAUUGAGGAUGGCCAUACAAGAGGGAUUGACUGAUGAGGAGAAUGCGAAGCUACGUCUCCAAGAGUUACAAGCACUAGACGAAAAGAGACUCGAAGCGCAACAACGCUUAGAGUGUUAUCAAGCUCGGCUUUCGAAUGCUUUUAACAAGAAGGUACGCCCCAGAUCUUUUCAGGUGGGAGAUCUCGUCCUCGCAUUACGUAGACCUAUCAUCACAACACACAAAACCGGAAGCAAGUUUACUUCGAAAUGGGAUGGGCCCUACGUAGUACAAGAAGUAUACACAAGUGGCGCUUACAAGAUUAUAGCGGAGGAUGGUUUAAGAAUUGGCCCUAUCAACGGAAAAUUCUUGAAACGAUACUAUGCAUGAAGUGACUACCAGCUCCUGGCCCGCAUGAGCCUAAACUGCGUACGGCACCCCAAAAAAAAAAAAGAAAAAAAAAUGGCUCGUUGGAUUGAAAACCCGAAAGGGCGGUCUAAGCAAAAAUUAGAGCGCAAGAAAGUCCGUUGAACUGAAAACCCGAAAGGGCGGUUCAAGCAAAAGUUAGGACACCAAAAAAAAAAAACAAAAAAAAAACAAAAAAAAAAAAAAAUCCUUUGAACUACGUGAUGACUUGAUCCCUUUUCAUCGAGGGUACGUAGGCAGCUUGGACAAAUAAUUCCAAGUUCAGUCACAUCAAAAUAAAAACAAAGGGUUUCCCACAUCAACCCGAACCAUUAAAAAAAAAAUUAAUUAAUUAAUUAUUUUUUAAAUUUAAAUUUUUUAAAAAAAAAAAAAAAAAAAAAGCUUACUUGUACAAGUUUGAAGAGCCGGGUAAAGGUGGAAUGUCUCGAGAAACAAUCUUCGCUUGUCUUCCACUUACGUAAAGCCUAAGCGCUUGAGUGGGUUAUCACCAAGUCGGAGAGAUGGAUCAAACCCAAGCGGUAUAGGACGUCUACGUUCUUCACUCGUCCUCCACUUACGUAAAGCCUAAGCGCUUGAGCGGGCUAUCACCAAGUCGGAGAGAUGGAUCAAACCCAAGUGGUAUAGGACGUCUACAUUCUUCACUCGUCCUCCACUUACGUAAAGCCUAAGCGCUUGAGCGGGUUAUCACCAAGUCGGAAAGGUGGAUCAAACCCAAGCGGUAUAGGACGUCUACGUUCUUCACUCGUCCUCCACUUACGUAAAGCCUAAGCGCUUGAGCGGGUUAUCACCAAGUCGGAGAGAUGGAUCAAACCCAAGCGGUAUAGGACGUCUACGUUCUUCACUCGUCCUCCACUUACGUAAAGCCUAAGCGCUUAAGCGGGUUAUCACCAAGUCGGAGAGAUGGAUCAAACCCAAGCGGUAUAGGACGUCUACGUUUUUCACUUGUCCUCCAUUUACGUAAAGCCUAAGCGCUUGGGCGGGUUAUCACCAAGUCGGAGAGAUGGAUCAAACCCAAGCGGUAUAGGACGUCCACCUUCUUCACUUUCUUUCAAAGUACCUAUUAUAUAAAAAAAAAAUUAAGGGUUUAGGUGCAGCCGAAAAAAAAAAAAAAGAAGAAGAAGAGGAAGAAGAAGAAUGGGUUCAGGCUUACCAACAAGCAACUCUCACCACUUUGGUUGCUGAGAUUCGGAUGAUGCAAACUUCAAAGUCGUAGACCUUCUCGCCAACAAGAGGAGUUUUUCUGCUGUUCUAUUUGGUUGAUCUCAAUAUUCAUGAACAUAGUGUUAUUUAAAGAAACCAAAGACCAUCAAAGCUCCUAGUGAUGCUAGGGUUUCUCAUUCCUAGUUUAGGAAAGUAUCUUGCUUCCCAAGAUCUUACCAAUAUUGGAUAUUAUUAAGCUUAAUAAUAUCACCCCAAAAAAAAGCUCCUAGUGAUGCUAGGGUUUCUCAUUCCUAGUUUAGGAAAGUAUCUUGCUUCCCAAGAUCUUACCAAUAUUGGAUAUUAUUAAGCUUAAUAAUAUCACCAAAAAAAAAAAAAAAAAAAAAAAGGGAAACCAACGUUGGAAAUAGGUUAGAUAUUCUCAAUGAUAUCUACCACAAAAAAAAAAAAAAAAAAAAAAUCCCUGGAAACCAACGAAAUAUGUUAGAUAUUCUCAAUGAUAUCUACCACAAAAGAAAAAAAAAGAAAAAAAAAAAAAAGGGAACACUUCAAGCUGCACCUCCUACAUGUGAAAAGACACAUGUCUACAAUGCAUCAUGAAGUGGGGGCAAUUUGUAGACAAAGAAAUUUUGGUGCAAUAAAUUCCAUUGACAAGAAAAAUAAUUAGGGUUCGGUGGAUUAAAUCGUGGGCCCCGUAAUUCGCCCAUGUGGCGUGUGACUCAUCAAAAUCGGAUUAGUUGUCAAAAAUGACAAAUGGCGACAUCUGACGGAGUGCAUCAAACGGUUCAAGAUGAAGACAAAAUUAAAGGAAAGAAUCUUCUGUGAUUGACUUUGAUUUAAAUCAAAUAUUAAUCAGGUUAAUCAAUUAAAGAUAAUCUGGUUAAAUUGCCAGAUUAUGGGAAUUGAUUUAAAUCAAAUCAGAAUCCCACAAAUCAAGGUUUUAAAUAGGGAAAGUUAUUUAGGUCAAGCAGCCGACAAAAGCCUAUAAAUAGGAGGCUUCAAGACGAAAGGGGUCGGGAGAAAAAAACCUAGCACUCAGAAGAAACAGAAAACUCUCUGCAUUCUUCGCCCUACUUUGGAAGAGCCACCAAGCACAACAAAUACGUGCCGGUUCCUUCACCAUAGAAAAAUCCCAAACACCAAACAAGCUUCGUGCUACCCGUUUGAUCAAGAUCAAGUCUCUACGACCCUUGUAUCAAACACAAAUUUUCUUUAAACACUUUGGAGAUCGAAUCAGAGGAUUCAAUACAGAGAUUGUAACCCUAAAUUUCAUUAAUACAAAAUUAUUUUGUACACGUGUUCUUGUCUCGUUUGUCGCAG
rnacentral:lncRNA from 1 species